AUUGAACGCUGGCGGCAUGCCUUACACAUGCAAGUCGAACGGUAACAGGUCUUCGGAUGCUGACGAGUGGCGAACGGGUGAGUAAUACAUCGGAACGUGCCUAGUAGUGGGGGAUAACUACUCGAAAGAGUGGCUAAUACCGCAUGAGAUCUACGGAUGAAAGCAGGGGAUCGCAAGACCUUGUGCUACUAGAGCGGCCGAUGGCAGAUUAGGUAGUUGGUGGGAUAAAAGCUUACCAAGCCGACGAUCUGUAGCUGGUCUGAGAGGACGAUCUGCCACACUGGGACUGAGACACGGCCCAGACUCCUACGGGAGGCAGCAGUGGGGAAUUUUGGACAAUGGGCGCAAGCCUGAUCCAGCAAUGCCGCGUGCAGGAUGAAGGCCUUCGGGUUGUAAACUGCUUUUGUACGGAACGAAAAGCCUUGGGUUAAUACCCUGGGGUCAUGACGGUACCGUAAGAAUAAGCACCGGCUAACUACGUGCCAGCCGCCGCCGUAACAC
rnacentral:rRNA from 1 species